GACGAACGCUGGCGGCGUGCCUAAUACAUGCAAGUAGGACGCAGUUGCGAACGGGUGAGUAACGCGUAGGUAACUGCCUAUUAGAGGGGGAUAACUAUUGGAAACGAUAGCUAAUACCGCAUACUAGUAGAUGGACCUGCGUUGUAUUAGCUAGUAGGUAGGGUAAUGGCCUACCUAGGCGACGAUACAUAGCCGAACUGGGAGGGUGAACGGGCAAACUGGGAAGGAGACAAGGGCGAGACGCCUAAGGGAGGGAGGAGGAGGGAAACUGCGGAAAUGGGGGGAAAGCUGACCGAGCAACGCCGCGGGAGGGAAGAAGGGUUUCGGAUCGUAAAGCUCUGUUGUUAAGGAAGCGGUACUUAACCAGAAAGGGACGGCUAACUACGUGCCAGCAGCCGCGGUAAUAC
rnacentral:rRNA from 1 species